rfam:Gorilla gorilla gorilla genomic chromosome, chr10, whole genome shotgun sequence
GCUGGGUGUGGUGGCGCAUGCCUGUAAUUUCAGCUACUCUGAAGGCUGGGGCAGGAGAAUUGCUUGAGCCCAGGAGGCAGAGGCUGCAGUGAGCUGAGAUUGUGCCACUGCAUUCCAGCCUGGGCAACACAGCGAGACCCUGUCUCAA